AGCUUGCUUCCUGGCGGCGAGCGGCGGACGGGUGAGUAAUGCAUAGGAAUCUACCCGGUAGUGGGGGAUAACCUGGGGAAACCCAGGCUAAUACCGCAUACGUCCUACGGGAGAAAGCAGGGGCUCUUCGGACCUUGCGCUAUCGGAUGAGCCUAUGUCGGAUUAGCUGGUUGGUGAGGUAAUGGCUCACCAAGGCGACGAUCCGUAGCUGGUCUGAGAGGAUGAUCAGCCACAUCGGGACUGAGACACGGCCCGAACUCCUACGGGAGGCAGCAGUGGGGAAUAUUGGACAAUGGGCGCAAGCCUGAUCCAGCCAUGCCGCGUGUGUGAAGAAGGCCCUCGGGUUGUAAAGCACUUUCAGUGGGGAAGAAAGCCUGCCGGCUAAUACCCGGGAGGAAGGACAUCACCCACAGAAGAAGCACCGGCUAACUCCGCGCCAGCAGCCGCGGUAAUACGGAGGGUGCGAGCGUUAAUCGGAAUUACUGGGCGUAAAGCGCGCGUAGGUGGCGUGAUAAGCCGGUUGUGAAAGCCCCGGGCUCAACCUGGGAACGGCAUCCGGAACUGUCAGGCUAGAGUGCAGGAGAGGAAGGUAGAAUUCCCGGUGUAGCGGUGAAAUGCGUAGAGAUCGGGAGGAAUACCAGUGGCGAAGGCGGCCUUCUGGACUGACACUGACACUGAGGUGCGAAAGCGUGGGUAGCAAACAGGAUUAGAUACCCUGGUAGUCCACGCCGUAAAC
rnacentral:rRNA from 1 species